CCCUUAGAUGUUCUGGGCCGCACGCGCGCUACACUGAUGCAUUCAACAAGCCUAGCCUUGACCGAGAGGUCCGGGUAAUCUUUGAAACUGCAUCGUGAUGGGGCUAGAUUAUUGCAAUUAUUAAUCUUCAACGAGGAAUGCCUAGUAAGCGUGAUUCAUCAAAUCGCGUUGAUUACGUCCCUGCCCUUUGUACACACCGCCCGUCGCUCCUACCGAUUGAAGUUUUCGGUGAGUUGACAGGAGGAUUUUUUUGAAACUGGUUCGCCAGUGGAUUUUAGAUCCAAAUGCCAACGAAUCGAUGGCUUUAGAGGAAGGAGAAGUCGUAACG
rnacentral:rRNA from 1 species